rnacentral:pre_miRNA from 1 species
UGAUCUAUAAAUAGCACAUUCUCGUUUAAUUAAUAUAACAGACUGAUCACACCUGACUACUCAAAAUCACUCGUUAUCGCAGGCGCGACUACAUAAGAAGCCUGGCUGAAAUUUGGCUGAAAUUCCCCUGCCGGGAAACCUUUUUAAGCAAAAUCUUGUUGCAAUAUUAAUGCAAAUAUAAAGUCAACAUGUUUAAAG